CAAAGAAGGAUGCUUUUAGAAUAUUGUGUUUUAUUUCUAUUAAUGCCAUAUUCUUAUGGACAGUCCCUGACCUCCUCUCCUUCUGUGGUGAAGAGACCUGGAGAGUCAGUCACUCUGUCCUGUGCCAUCUCUGGAUUCUCAAUGAGCAACUGGAUGAGCUGGAUCCGUCAGAAACCAGGACAAGCACUGGAGUGGAUCGGAUACAUUGAUAGUGGCACAGGCACUGGAUUCGCUCAGUCUCUGCAGGGACAGUUCUCCAUCACUAAAGACACCAAUAAGAACAUGCUGUAUCUAGAAGUGAAGAGUCUGAAAGCUGAAGACACGGCUGUUUAUUACUGUGCACGAUACACACACUGA